rnacentral:rRNA from 1 species
AUGAACAAGUCAAGGUGCCAGGACAAGCACAGAGGAGGCCUUCGCAGAAUGAUAAGAGAGCACAAGACGAGGCUCUACAUAAUCCGGCGAUGCAUCGUCAUGCUUCUUUGUCACCACGACUAA